AUUGAACGCUGGCGGCAGGCUUAACACAUGCAAGUCGAGCGGAGCGAGGGUGCUUGCACCUUAGCUUAGCGGCGGACGGGUGAGUAAUGCUUAGGAAUCUGCCUAUUAGUGGGGGACAACAUUCCGAAAGGAAUGCUAAUACCGCAUACGCCCUACGGGGGAAAGCAGGGGAUCUUCGGACCUUGCGCUAAUAGAUGAGCCUAAGUCGGAUUAGCUAGUUGGGGGGGUAAAGGCCUACCAAGGCGACGAUCUGUAGCGGGUCUGAGAGGAUGACCCGCCACACUGGGUCUGGGACACGGCCCAGACUCCUACGGGAGGCAGCAGUGGGGAAUAUUGGACAAUGGGCGGAAGCCUGAUCCAGCCAUGCCGCGUGUGUGAAGAAGGCCUUUUGGUUGUAAAGCACUUUAAGCGAGGAGGAGGCUACUUAGAUUAAUACUCUGGGAUAGUGGACGUUACUCGCAGAAUAAGCACCGGCUAACUCUGUGCCAGCAGCCGCCGUAA
rnacentral:rRNA from 1 species